AACUUUUUGAAUCAGUGCUGAGAUCUGGUCAGACACCAACCCAUUAGGACUGAUCAGACUUCCAAGAUAAGUGAAGUU
rfam:Schistosoma rodhaini strain Burundi genome assembly, scaffold: SROB_scaffold0009221